GACGAACGCUGGCGGCGUGCUUAACACAUGCAAGUCGAACGGAAAGGCCCUGCUUUUGUGGGGUGCUCGAGUGGCGAACGGGUGAGUAACACGUGAGUAACCUGCCCUUGACUUUGGGAUAACUUUAGGAAACUGGGGCUAAUACCGGAUAGGAGCUCCUGCUGCAUGGUGGGGGUUGGAAAGUUUCGGCGGUUGGGGAUGGACUCGCGGCUUAUCAGCUUGUUGGUGGGGUAGUGGUUUACCAAGGCUUUGACGGGUAGCCGGCCUGAGAGGGUGACCGGCCACAUUGGGACUGAGAUACGGCCCAGACUCCUACGGGAGGCAGCAGUGGGGAAUAUUGCACAAUGGGCGGAAGCCUGAUGCAGCAACGCCGCGUGCGGGAUGACGGCCUUCGGGUUGUAAACCGCUUUCGCCUGUGACGAAGCGUGAGUGACGGUAAUGGGUAAAGAAGCACCGGCUAACUACGUG
rnacentral:rRNA from 1 species